rnacentral:rRNA from 1 species
GACGAACCGUGCGAACGUUGUUCGGAUUCACUGGGCUUAAAGGGCGCGUAGGCGGACGGUCAAGUCAGGGGUGAAAUCUUUCAGCUCAACUGGAAAAGUGCCUUUGAUACUGAUCGUCUCGAGGGAGGUAGGGGCAUGUGGAACUUCCGGUGGAGCGGUGAAAUGCGUAGAUAUCGGAAGGAACGCCGGUGGCGAAAGCGACGUGCUGGACCUCUUCUGACGCUGAGGCGCGAAAGCUAGGGGAGCAAACGGGG